AGCUUUGCACAGUGGCAGUAUCAUAACUAAUGAGGUUAAUCUGAGGGGUGGUUAUUGCUAUUUGAAAACUUUUCCCAAUACCCUGCCAUGACAAAUGGAAUUUUUGAUAGUUUCCUGUGAGA
rnacentral:snRNA from 1 species